CGGCGGACGGGUGAGUAACGCGUAGGAAUCUACCCAGUAGUGGGGGAUAACCCGGGGAAACCCGGGCUAAUACCGCAUACGCCCUACGGGGGAAAGCGGGGGCCUUCGGGCCUCGUGCUAUUGGAUGAGCCUGCGUCGGAUUAGCUAGUUGGUAGGGUAAAGGCCUACCAAGGCGACGAUCCGUAGCUGGUCUGAGAGGAUGAUCAGCCACACUGGGACUGAGACACGGCCCAGACUCC
rnacentral:rRNA from 1 species